rnacentral:rRNA from 1 species
GUACGCUGGCGGCACGCCUAACACAUGCAAGUCGAACGAAGUAGCAAUACUUAGUGGCAGACGGGUGAGUAACAUGUAGGUAUCUGCCCUUUGGCCUGGAAUAACACGAGGAAACUUGUGCUAAUACCGGAUAAGUCUUUACGGAGAAAGCUUUAUGCACCAUUGGAUGAGCCUGCACUUGAUUAGUUUGUUGGUGGGGUAAUGGCCUACCAAGACUGUGAUCAAUAGCUGAUUUGAGAGGAUGAUCAGCCACAUUGGGACUGAGACACGGCCCAAACUCCUACGGGAGGCAGCAGUGGGGAAUCUUGCACAAUGGAGGAAACUCUGAUGCAGCGAUGCCGCGUGAGUGAAGAAGGCCUUUGGGUUGUAAAGCUCUUUCGUCGGGGAAGAAAAUGACUGUACCCGAAUAAGAAGGUCCGGCUA